CGAUGUCUUCUCGUAUACGGUAACGGUAACGAUGCGCUAGAACCGCGCGACUCAUCGGAGCUUCUCUCUCCGAAUCAGAUCUCUGACAGUUUCUACCACGUAAAAAUUGCCGAUAUCUCUUGCCACUUCUUACAUCGAUACUUUUCAAAUUUUUCAAUGUACGAUCCAAUCGAACACGACGUUAUCGCGAUAUUACCACGAUCUUUCUCAAAAAGAUAUCUUUCGCGAUAAAGAGAACUUCAUAAAGUUGGCGAUAUUCGCGAUUAUUCGUCGCACGAGGUUUGUUUUCACACAGCGGUAAAUCGAGACAAUGCGAGCGUAUCUCUGGCUCGGAUAGGCACUGAAUCGUAGAGCGAAACGUAUCCUCGAAGUAACCUCGCGAGCGGAUGGUAAGAUCGAGUUAACGGCAUUAAGAAGAGCGAGUCAUCGAACGGGUCGAAAGAAGGGAAGUUUGAGAUCGCGUUAGUCAGAGUGGCGGAUUGGAGAGACGCGCGUGCGUAGUCGGUGUGAGUCUACCCACGACCGGCCGAGUAGAUCGUCGUCGUGUCAUGUCGCGCAUCGGUGUUUACACGUUCGCGCCUCUCGAUGCGUUCACCGACGGAUUCAGGCAACCAAAGGUUUCUUCAACCUUCCUCGCGUUUAUCGCAACGCUACUUUCUCCCACAAUUUCAGUCCCUUACGAUCGUUCCAGCGCAGUUCCUUUCCUUUUCUCGUCUCGCCAGAGUUCUUUCUCUCGCUCUCUGAUUCUUAACUUUCGUUCUUUCGCGUAAAAUGGAUAAACGCGUAAUUAUUCCAAUAUCGAUAGAAUCGCAUUCGUCAGCCCCUAAGAAGAACCGAGUGUCGACGAUUCUCAGGUUCGGUGUCUCCUACGUGAUACUUCUGAUUGUACGUCAUAACCGCGAAUAGCUCAAGGUUGCGGCAGUUCGUAUAAAAAUGUGGUCUGAAAAUGAUGGAAGCGUCACUCGUGCCACAAAAGAAUGCGAAAAAGAAUGUUGCUGUUGCUGAUGACCAGUCUGAU